GGCCGACCCAGCCUCGAGCCGCCGCGCCGUCGCAGCCGAGCGCACGGCCUCCGGCGGCCCGCUGCGCCCGGAGUGUCCCGCCUCGGGCCGUCACCCACCCGCGGCUCGCGAACGCGGGAGAGGAGCUGGGCAGGCGCUGUCCAGCCCGUGGCCGGGCACAGCCGUGAGGGGUGAGGCGCGGAGACGUCCUGGCGGCCACCAUGGUGGCCACGUGCCUGCAGGUGGUGGGCUUCGUCACGAGCUUCGUGGGCUGGAUCGGCAUCAUCGUGACCACGUCCACCAACGACUGGGUGGUGACCUGCGGCUACACCAUCCCCACGUGCCGCAAGCUGGACGAGCUGGGCUCCAAGGGGCUGUGGGCCGACUGCGUCAUGGCCACGGGGCUCUACCACUGCAAACCGCUGGUGGACAUCCUCAUCCUGCCGGGUAAGUCCCCAAACCCUGCAAGCGGCUGCUCCUCCCUGGUCCUCUGGGCAGACCGGAGCGGAGGGGACUAGACGGAGUUCACAGAGACUUGUGGGAGCGCAGAGACCUUUGGGCACGCUUUUGACACCUCUAGCCCCC